GGGCGUAUAGCUCAGUGGUAGAGCACUACGUUGACAUCGUAGGGGUCACUGGUUCAAUCCCGGUUACGCCCA
rnacentral:tRNA from 1 species